rnacentral:lncRNA from 10 species
AGAAGCAGGAACAGGGCAGGGUCAUACCAGGUGGACCAGGACAACCAGGGCUGGGUGUCCGGCCUCACGAGGACAGACCUCCCACAGCAGGCAGACCCUGCUCUCCUGGCGCUCAGGGCUAUGGGUACUCCAGCCAGGCCCUCCUGGGGAUCUGAUCUCAGGGCCCUGGGGGCAUGGUUUGGACAUCUGAUAGGGGCAGAUUACAACUCUGAAGACUUGGCAGGCUCCGGACUUACUAUAAAGCUACAGUACUCACGACAGGGUGUUGGCAAAACAGACCAGUGAAAGCGGAGAGAGAGCCCAGAAACAAAUCCGCAUGGAGAGUCAACUGGUCUGUGACAAAGCGGCAAAAGCAAUGCAAUGGGGCACAGCCUCCACCAAAUGGAGCCAAACAACGGGGCGUUCACAUUCCCAAAAUGAAUCCCAACACACACAUUCCACCCCUACAGCAAUUCACUCAGAAUGAUCACAGACCUAAAUGUGAAAUGCAAAACUAUCAAACUCCUAGAAGAUAACACAGGAGAAAAUCUAGAUGACCGAGGGUUUGGUGAUGAGUUUUAAAAACACAAGACUGAGCCCAGUGGCUCCCACCUGGCAUCCCAGCACUUUGGAAGGUUGAGGCAGGAGGAUCAGUUGAGCCCAGGAGUUUGGGACCAGCCUGGGCAACACAGUGAGACCCUGUUUCUUUCUUUCUUUCUUUUUUUAAUAAGGCGGGGGCGGACCACAAUCCAAGAAGAAACCAGUGAGAAACUCGAUUUCAUUAAGAUUAAAAACUGCUCUGUGAAGGCACUGUCAAGAGAAUAAGAAGAACAAGCCCCAAACCUGGAGAAAAUAACUAGAAAUGAGAUAUCCAUGAAAGGAUUACGAGCCAAAAUUUACAAACAACUCUUACAACUCAACAAAAAGAAAAGGGACAACCAAUUUAAAAAUAGGCAAACAUUCUGAGCAGAUACCUCACCAAAGAAGAUACGCAGAUGGUAAAUAAGCCAUGAAAAGGGGCUCAGCAUCAUAUGUCAGUAGGAAAUAGCAAAUUAAAACAAUAUACCACUACACACCUAUCAGCUGGCCAAAAUCCAAAACACGAACACCACCAAAUGCUGGUGAGGACGUGAAGCCACAGGAACGCCCAUUCAUUGCUGGUGGGAACACAAAAUGGUGCAGCCACUUGGGAAGACAGUUUGGCAGCUUCUUGCAAAACUCUCACCAUAUGAUCCGGCAAUCACACUCCCUGGUAAAUCCCCUUUGGGAUUUACCCAAAAGAGGUGAAAAUGUAUGUCCACACCAAAACUUCCACACCGGUGUUUAUAGCAGCUUUAUUCAUAAAUGCCCCAAACUGGGACAAGCCUAAGAUGCUCUUGAGAGAGGGUAAAUGGAUAAACUGUGGUAGAGCCAAACAAUGGAAUAUUAUUCGGCACUAAAAAGAAAUGAGCUGUCAAGCCAUGAAAACACACAGAGGAAAUAUAAAUGCUAUUACCAGGCGAAAGGAGUCAAUCAGAAAAGGCCACAUAGUGCAUGAGUCCAACCACAUGACAUUCUGGAAAAGGCAAAACUGUGGGGACAGUAAAAACCAUCAGUGGUUACGGGGGUGGAGGGUGGGGGAGGAACGGGCAGAGCCAAGGGUUUUCAGGGCAAUGAAACCAUUUUGCAUUCUCUGUAAAUGGCGGACCCGUGUCCUACAUUUGUCCCAAUCUACGGAAUGGCUAACACCAAGAGUGGGCUCUAACGGAUGCCGUGGACUCGGGGUGAUGGCGCAUCCGUGUGGGUUGGCUGCCUUAAUAAAUGUGUG